UCAAACGUUGAAGGGCUUCUGACGGAUGCCUUGGCGUAGAGAGGCGAUGAAGGACGUGGCAAGCUGCGAUAAGAACCGGGGAGGCGCUAGCACCCUUUGAUCCGGUUAUUUCCGAAUGGGGAAACCCACCUUUACAGUCUUCCAACUCUGCUCUUUGGGGCAGCGAUUGGCGGAUUGUUGAAAGGUAUAAUGAGCUGAAUACAUAGGCUUCAUUAAGCGAACCCGGGGAACUGAAACAUCUCAGUACCCGGAGGAAAGGACAUCAACCGAGACUCCCGUAGUAGUGGCGAGCGAACCGGGACCAGGCCAGUGCUCUUGUGAAAUAAAGACGAACGAUCUGGAAAGGUCGGCCAUAGUGGGUGAAAGCCCCGUAGUCAUCAAACAGCAAGAGACUCGAGUAGGGCGGGACACGUGAAAUCCUGUCUGAACAUGGGGGGACCACCCUCCAAGCCUAAGUACUCCUCUACGACCGAUAGUGAACAAGUACCGUGAGGGAAAGGUGAAAAGCACCCCGACAAGGGGAGUGAAACAGAUCCUGAAAUCGGAAGCCUACAAGCAGUCGGAGCCCCCAAGCGGGGUGACGGCGUACCUUUUGUAUAAUGGGUCAGCGACUUCAUGUGUCGAGCAAGCUUAAGCCGUUAGGUGUAGGCGCAGCGAAAGCGAGUCUGAAUAGGGCGCUAAGUUCGACGUAUGACGACCCGAAACCAGGUGAUCUAUCCAUGAGCAGGUUGAAGGUUGGGUAACACCAACUGGAGGACCGAACCCGUGAAUGUUGAAAAAUUCUGGGAUGACUUGUGGAUAGGGGUGAAAGGCCAAUCAAACCUGGACAUAGCUGGUUCUCCGCGAAAUCUAUUUAGGUAGAGCGUCCGACGAAUUCCUUGGGGGGUAGAGCACUGGAUGGUUGCGGGCUGCGCGAGCGGUACCAAUACUAACCAAACUCCGAAUACCCAAGAGAACUAUCGGGCAGACACACGGCGGGUGCUAACGUCCGUCGUGAAAAGGGAAACAACCCUAACCAUCAUCUAAGGCCCCCAAGUCACGGCUAAGUGGGAAACGAUGUGGGAUUGCUUUGACAAUCAGGAGGUUGGCUUAGAAGCAGCCAUCCUUUAAAGAAAGCGUAACAGCUCACUGAUCAAGCGAUCCUGCGCGGAAAAUGUAACGGGGCUCAAGCCGUGCGCCGAAGAUAUGGGUUUGCAGUUUACUGCAAGCGGUAGCGGAGCGUUCCGUAGGCCGGUGAAGGUCAGGCGUGAGCCUGGCUGGAGGUAUCGGAAGUGAGAAUGCUGACAUGAGUAACGAUAAGAGUGUGAGAGACACUCUCGCCGAAAGACCAAGGGUUCCUGCGUAAAGCUAAUCUGCGCAGGGUUAGUCGGCCCCUAAGGCGAGGCUGAAAAGCGUAGUCGAUGGGAAGCAGGUAAAUAUUCCUGCACCAGCUGGAAGUGACGGAUGGCUUAACUCGUACCCACUUAUUGGAUUGUGUGUGCGGGGGCGUUGUCCCAGGAAAUAACUCCAGCAGAGACCGUACCCGAAACCGACACAGGUGGUCAGGUAGAGCAUACCAAGGCGUUUGAGAGAACUAUGCUGAAGGAACUCGGCAAAUUGCACGCGUAACUUCGGAAUAAGCGUGACUCACCUUGCGCAAGCAGGACUGAGUGGCACAAGCCAGGGGGUAGCGACUGUUUAGCAAAAACACAGGGCUCUGCGAAGCAGCAAUGCGACGUAUAGGGUCUGACGCCUGCCCGGUGCCUGAAGGUUAAAGGGAGAUGUGAAAGCGUCGAACUGAAGCCCAGGUAAACGGCGGCCGUAACUAUAACGGUCCUAAGGUAGCGAAAUUCCUUGUCGGGUAAGUUCCGACCUGCACGAAUG
rnacentral:rRNA from 1 species